CCCAUGGGGAUAACAGUACACGGUAAACAGGACACAGUGGGAUAAUACAUUUUAAAAAAAGGAGAGAAGUCAGAGUUUAAACGAGUGUCGUCUUUAUUGCGUAGCCCUGGAGAAGGAGUAUAUACAUUCAGAGAGCAGGAAACGAAGAGCGCCAACAAUCCUCUUUGGCUCCGACUUUGAUUGACAGGUCAUGAGACAACAGGAAAUGACCAAACGGCCACAAUCAUCACCAGGGAGCCUACACUAAGGGUGCAUCCCAAUAUGUGUCCUUGCCUCCUCCACUUGCGCUUGUCUCCUCGUCCCGCCUCCUGGCCUCUCCUCCGUGGAGAAAACAAUAACGUUUCCCAGCUGUCAGCCUCGCCCCAACAACUUUUGAGGGAGUUUUUUUCUUUCACCAUCGCAAUUGCAAAUGAGAAAAAGACUUUACAAUUGAGCUUUUGCAAGAUAUUGAAAUAUAAUGCUGUUGUCAGUGAUGUCAUCAUGACGAGAAGCAAGUGGAGGAGGCAAGUGGAGGAGGCAAGGUCACAUAUUGGGAUGCACCCUAAGAGACUAGUACAUGAGGACUCCAGGCUCUUCUAUUAGAUGAUUUACCUCUUCACUUCACCUGGUUUACUCCUGAACCAGCUUCUUAGUGUAGGCCCCAGACAUACUGACAUCCUUACCAGUAGCACUAUUGUAUACAAGAGGGCCAAAGAAGUCCAACAUGAAAUUGUCCUCCAGUGUAACUUUUGUAUACUUUUGCUUACUGUAAAUGCAAAAAAAAACAGUUUUUUUUUAAUUAUUUUUUGGCUUGGCUUUCAUGCAUUCAUUUUAACAAAAAAAAAAUGAAAUUAAUGUUUUCACAGUUACAGUAAGCAACAGUAUUCGUUAGCACUGAAGAACAAUUUCAUGUUGGACGUCUUAGUUUGACCCAAGAACACACACAGGCUGACAGGCACCACAAACAACACAGAGACAGUCAGGUGCUCAGGUGGAAUGAAAGCGGACAACAGCAAAAAAAUUAACAUCCUGGGGUGUGGUGUGCUUCCCCAAAUCCAUAGCGGUUGCCUAAGCCAGUGGUUUCCAACCUUUCUCUUCAGGGACCCCUAUUUUUACUAUUGCAAGCUUUGGUGACCCAGAGCCCGCAUGGGAGGAAGUCACGUGAUGCGUUUCCUGCGAAAACUCAUUUUAGUUAUCAUUUUAUUCCUCAAUUCGUUUUUCUUCAAAAACAGAAUAAAUGUUUAAUGUAGCACUUAAAUGUUGUUGUUUCUAUGCAUUUGUCAUUUAUUCAACAUGGGCUACAUAUGGUAGGCUAUUCAAAUGAAACCCCUUAAAAUCAAGAGGGCUUCGCGAACCCCCAUGGAUCUUUGGUGACCCAUAGGUUGGGUCGCGACCCAUAUGUUGGGAACCACUGGCCUAAGCUACAGGGUAUGGAUUUGGGAAGCGCACGCCCGGUUGGUGGAUUUGAAGACCCCUCAUGGACAACAGAAAUGGCCGAAAUGGGCCAGGGAGCCCUGGGGAUCCACGACAUAUUGAGUGCAUUCCAAUAUGCGGCCUUGCCUCCUCCACUUGUGCUCGUUUCCUCGUACCAGGAAGUAAACUCUUUUUCUCAUUUGCAAUUGGGAUGGUGAAUGAAAAACAGUCCCUUAAAAAGUUGUUGUGGCUAGGCUGACAGCUGGGAAACUUUAUCGUUUUCCCCACGGAGGAGGAGCCAGGAGGGGCGAGGGAACAAGCACAAGUGGAGGAGGCAAGGCAGUAUAUUGUGACGCACUCAUUGGCAGGGGGUCCGUGGAAAAGGUUGUUACAAUGCAACAUACCAAACCGCUGCAGCAGGAGUCCCAUGGUUUCUUACAUAGGCCCCACCUUCUUAAAACGAUGACCGUUUGUAACAUUGCGGUAACUGUUAUUUGUGGUGCGAUUUAUGGGUCCUUGGUGGUACAUUUUCUGAUCCCCAUUAGGGCUCUCCGAGUCCAGACCAAAGAGGUUUGAGGAUAAUUGGCCUAGAUCACAACCCAACCUAGGGAUGCACCGAUACCGAUACUGGUAUUGGUAUCGGCAUCCGAUACUGCUCAUUAUACUCGGACUCGUACUCGUCAAGCACUUGCCGAUACCAGGAACGAUACUGCUAUUACACAAAACAAUGUAAAAUCUUGUCACGUUCUGUGGACUUGAAAGCAGCAUGGAAAAAAGUGCCACCUCAUACAUUUACUAACAUUUAAAUCUACAUGGAAAUGGACAAUAAAAAUAUCACAGGUGGAAAAAAACAAGGCCAUGCAUUUAUUUUCAGAGUAUUUUGGUGGUAAAAGGUAUCGGUAUCGGUACUUGGUAUCGGCAAGUACACACAUUAAUGUACUCGUACUUGUAUCAGUUUUCAAAAAAGUGGUAUCGGUGCAUCCCUAACCCAACCCCAUUCUCUCUAUCCGUUUCUCAAGACACUUUUCCAUCUUUUCAUGUUAGCAGUCUCUUGGUGUCUACAGCAGUGAUUCCCAACCUAUGGGCUGAUGGUAUUCCAAGUGGGCCUUGAAAUCAUUUUCCAAAAAUAAUAAUCAUAUUUUGGUGUGUGUUGCUGUUGAUUUAUUUGAGUUUUAUUCUUAAUUGGGUAAGAGGGGGGCCCCGAACAUUUUUGACCAUUUCGAGUGGGCCCCACGUUGGAAAAGGUUGGGAACCCCUGGUCUACAGCGUCAAAAGCCCUCUCCUCCGACACAGUUUACAUACAGAUAACCAGACACUAAGCUAGCAGAUACAAAAAAAGACACAGUUCUCCUGCUCCGAGAUCUUCAAGUCUAACCGAUUAGGGAUAGUUUAGGAUUACUUUUGCAUCAAUCGUUGCUAACAAUCUUGAAGCAGAUAUGUCUACAUACAAGCCUGUUAAAAUCAAUAGUUUUACGCGCUUACAAAAUAAAAGACAGAGAGAGGGCGAGAGAAAUGUAAGAAAAAUAAAAUAAUGCAAAAGUAUAAAAAGCUGUAACCGAUAAAUACAUAUUUAAAAUCUUGCAUAGGUGUCUGUGCUGAAGAUUACGACCCGAGAGAAAGAAAAAUCGAAUUUGGUUAGAAUUUACAAAUAUACACAACAAUUGUAAAAAUCAACAAGCAGAACACAAGCAUGACAGACUGUUGGUAGCGAUUUACAAGACUGUAUGGAGCACAUGACAGCCUAUAAACACAAGCCCAUUGCAAUUCAUUUAAAAAGACAGACAGACAGACAGACAGACAGAAAGAGUCUAUUUAUGUCUGCUAAGAUAACAAAACCGAGUAUCUGUCCUCUUUGGCCAGGUACAAUGAUGACCUGCAAAAAAUUCUUUAGCAAAAAAUCAAAGAAAAGAAAAAAAAAAUGCCCACAGGUUGAUUCCUGGCUCCAGUCAAUAGCAAAUAACAAAAAAGGGGCAAAACUUCAAAAAAAUAAUAAGACACGCACACUUCACAAUUUUCACCAAACCGCAGUUCAUAGCAUACCUCAUCAUCAUCAUCAUCACAUUACAAAAUCUCCAUCACAAACACACAUACUUUUGCUACCAUAUAUUUUAUAUAGAUAUAUAAUAUUUUGCAGAAG